rnacentral:tRNA from 1 species
AGGGGCUUAGGAUAACAUCAGACCAGGGGCCUUCAAAGCCCCAAGCGGAAGUGAGAAUCUUCCAGCCUCUG